rnacentral:lncRNA from 1 species
GGCUCUCAGAGCUUAGAAACUGUAAGCCUUGCUUAGUAAGAAUUUGAAUUGUCAUCUAAAAUUGUUUAUGCAAGAUACUGGGAGAGCAUCGCUAAAAUCAACCAGAAUUCUGCUUACAAAAAGCCUACAAGAUUGGUCCUAUUGUGUCCAAGAUCUAUUGAAUCUUUUAGAGAACCUAAACCCAUCAUGCUUAGUGGUUACUAAGCAUGAGCAAACCCCCCCCGAAAACUGGAGAGUAUAUAAGGAAAGCAACAAAACUGUCAUUGCCCUAUUAUUCCAGGGGCUUAUUUCCUCAUCAAGUAACAACACUCUUGACUUGUCCCUGCAGAAAGUUGAAUAACAUCCUGCUCCAUGAAGGCAUGCAUUCCUGGAGGAGCGGAGGUCCUGAGAAUGUCAAAAGCUCUUGAAAACAGGUCCAGCUACCACUUUGCCAGACACCAUGGCAAAGACUUCUCUGGGAGCUAAUUUUGGAUAAUGAGCAAUCAGCAGGGGCAGAACAUCCUCAGAUGUUCUUGAAGAAAUACCCAGGCAGUUCUCAUGCUCAAAUCUGUGCUGGAUCAGUGGGAUGUCAUCAUGCUCACCUGGGUGCUUUGAAGAUGUUAUGAAGAUCAGAGAGAAGAGAAUGCAAGGGGAGAGAAGGUUAUUUGUUUAUCACAGGAAUGAAAGCAGGCAUUUAUGAGAUGCCAGCUCAAAUGCUCAAUUUUUGUCUUCUUUAAUUUGUUGGUAAAACAUCAGGACAGAGACAAAGCCUUUCCUACUUUAUGCCUGCAGUGCCAGUCCUCAUCUUAGCCCACAGGUCAACCCAGCUGUUAAGGAUAUGUUAACUUUUAUGGGGUUGUAUAGUGUGAGUUUUCAAUUACUUAAUCUGUGCAAACUGGUGAAUGUAAUAGCAGGAUGCUACUGAUAGCCAUUAUUAUUUCUUGAAGUGGUAGUCUUGUAUAGGGAUAGCUAUCAGUAGCUAUCUAAGCACACAAAGAAAUGCCUUCAGUUUUUGGUCCAUGGACAUACCCCACUCUUCUACCACUUCUUUUAUCUGGGCUUUUUUACCCAAACUGGGCAUACCCACUCUCUCUAAAAGGUGCUUUCAGGGUUGAUCAAG